UACAGAGGUCUCAAGCGUUGUUCGGAUUCAUUGGGUGUAAAGGGUGUGUAGGUGGCGCCGUUAGUCGGGUGUGAAAUUUCGGAGCUUAACUCCGAAACUGCAUUCGAUACUGCGGUGCUUGAGGACUGGAGAGGAGACUGGAAUUCAUGGUGUAGCAGUGAAAUGCGUAGAGAUCAUGAGGAAGACCAGUGGCGAAGGCGGGUCUCUGGACAGUUCCUGACACUGAGGCACGAAGGCCAGGGGAGCAAACGGG
rnacentral:rRNA from 1 species